ACGGGUGAGUAAUGCGUAGGAAUCUACCUAGUAGUACGGAAUAGCCAUUAGAAAUGGUGGGUAAUACUGUAUAAUCCCCGAGGGGGAAAGAUUUAUCGCUAUUAGAUGAGCCUACGUUAGAUUAGCUAGUUGGUGAGGUAAUGGCUUACCAAGGCUAUGAUCUAUAGCUGGUCUGAGAGGACGAUCAGCCACACUGGAACUGAGAUACGGUCCAGACUCCUACGGGAGGCAGCAGUGGGGAAUAUUGGACAAUGGGCGAAAGCCUGAUCCAGCUAUGCCGCGUGAGUGAAGAAGGCCUUCGGGUUGUAAAACUCUUUCAAUAGGGAAGAUAAUGACGGUACCUAUAAA
rnacentral:rRNA from 1 species